rnacentral:rRNA from 1 species
AUUGAACGCUGGCGGCAUGCCUUACACAUGCAAGUCGAACGGCAGCACGGGUGCUUGCACCUGGUGGCGAGUGGCGAACGGGUGAGUAAUACAUCGGAACGUACCUUAUCGUGGGGGAUAACGCAGCGAAAGCUGUGCUAAUACCGCAUACGCCCUGAGGGGGAAAGCGGGGGAUCGCAAGACCUCGCGCGAUUAGAGCGGCCGAUGCCUGAUUAGCUUGUUGGUGGGGUAAAAGCCCACCAAGGCGACGAUCAGUAGCUGGGCUGAGAGGACGAUCAGCCACACUGGGACUGAGACACGGCCCAGACUCCUAGGGGGGGCAGCAGUGGGGAAUUUUGGACAAUGGGGGAAACCCUGAUCCAGCAAUGCCGCGUGAGUGAAGAAGGCCUUCGGGUUGUAAAGCUCUUUUGUCAGGGAAGAAACACCGGCUCUAACACAGUCCGGGAAUGACGGUACCUGAAGAAUAAGCACCGGCUAACUACGUGCCAGCAGCCGCCGUAA